rnacentral:lncRNA from 1 species
GUUCCAAGGGGCCGGAACUUACACAAGGCAGUGCUGUUUCAGGAGGCUGCUUCACUCCUCAGGGCUGCAAAGCCAUCACGCUUUUGUUGACUGUGUGGCUCACACCUGGGUCCGGAGCCGGCACCUUGCCCAGAGAUGCCAGGUGCUGUCUCUUAAUCAGAAAUAAUGAGCAAGGCAGCUGUGGCUUCUCAUCAGCCAAUCCCUCCAGCGUGUCAGAUGGGGGCCAAUUAGCAGAGGCACCAAGCAACAGAAUUCUGCCUUCGCAAGCAAAACAUCCAAAAGUGCUGAGCCCCUUCGCAGUGACACUGGACCCCAGCGUCUUACCUUUCCCCAGCUUUACAUUGGUCUUUUCUUGGUCCUGGGUGAGCCGGGGCUGGUUCCAGGAUUGGAACCUCCCGAAGCAGCAAGCCCUGACACCUGGAGUGGAGUUCAAGGACUUUUUUUUUCAAUCUAAGUUUCUUUGGCCACCACCACUCCCCACGGCCAACAGCCACAUUCUUUCUUGGACCACGUCAUUCAUUCUCAGUUGCUUGGCCUCGAAGGCCUGUGGGCGGCACAGACUCCAGCCUUUGAGACAUUAAAAAAAAAGGCUCCCCUUCUGGGGAGACCAUUUAGGACACAGCCCCUGCCAGGAAUGUUUCAGCUCCUGCGCACCCCGAGGCUUCGUGCCUUUGCACAAGGUUAUAAAAAUGGAACUAUUCAUUGGGACACUCAAAUGAUACAGGAAAAGGAUAAAGAAAGUGAAAAAUCACCUGCUGUCCCCCCACCCCGAGCUGUUACCUACCGUGUGGGCUAGCAUGCUUCAGACACACACAGCUGUGGGCAACCUUAUCAUGGCUUGCUGAGCGGUGCCAUGUCCGCACCUGGGAUCUGAACUGGUGAACCCCGGACCUCUGAAGCAGAACGUGCAAACAACUGCUGCACCACGGGGCCAGCCCCUUGGGACCUUUCUUGAAGUCAGCUGUUCAACUGAAAAAAUGAGCCCAGAACUGGGAGGCCCUCCCAGGGGACCAGCUGGUUGGGCCUCUCAGAAGUGUCUGUCAGCACUGAGCACUGCCUUCUGGGACAUUCUCCUUGGUUCUCUGCCAUCAUGCUCACCCGAUGUUCCCCAGUCCUGCCUCUCUCCAGACACUUCUAUCUCUCACCUGUUCUUCGAGAGUCAGAGUUCCUCAGUCCUGGAUUUCUCUUUCUCAUCCUCUGUGGUCCUCUCAGAUGAAUUCAUUGCCUGUGACUCCUGAAUCCCUGUUUCUGGCCCAGAUCUCUCGAGAAUCUCACAUCUGGAUGUUCUUCCCGCUCUCCUACCUCACGCUCAACUUGUUGACGAACCCACCCCUUUUCUAGUGUUCUCCAUCUUGUGGAAGGGCACUCCCAUGCACCCAGGUUGUGUCCUGCUUCCUGCCUCUGUGAAACUUCUCUACUCCAGCCUUUACCCUGGCUCCCACACUGGUCCCCAACCUUGGCAGCCCCAGGAAGCCUUCCCCGGAGCUCCUCCAGCUCGCUGUGCUUAGAGUCCUCCCCUC